GGUGAUGUCGUAAAGAGAUUGCCCAAAGGGUGUAGCUUUUGCAUAGGGUCAUGGGAUGGUAACAAAUAUUAUACACCAUCAUACGAGGGGGUGCAAGGGGUUGCUAAUAGUUCAGACUAACUGGGUGGUUCGAUGCGGUUUCCUGGGACAUAGUCAUGGGAAUGGACAACGAGACCCUUGCUUGACCGAAGGUUAUACUUUCCGGAACACCUGGACCUUCAAGGCCAGGAGUUUGUCAACCGCAAUUAGCACUUAUUCGCAGAUCGGAGAAACAACAAUGGUAGAAAAACAAACAAUAACCUCCAUUGCGCCAGAAGACAGCCGUGUGCAUGCUGAAACUGUGGAUCUCGAGUACGUCCCGGCGCACUCUACGUCGUGGAUUAUCCGGCUCUCAGUACGUGGCCUUCGGCAAUCGACCGACUCGAUUUUAUUGCCUUUUUAAAGUGAAAAACAGCGUAAAAACACGUUCUAUGAAACAGACAACAUUGGCCAGCAGUGUGACCGCAGCUCGGUUGUUUACAUAUACCUCAUGUUAAGGGAAUAUACUGAAAAGUUCUCGUCUGAAGUAAGGGUAUUCAUGAAACUGCAAUGCUGUUUUUGGAAAAAGUAGCGCCAAAAAUCGUAGAUAUUACAAAAUGGGGCCAAACAUUAAUUUUCCAUCUGAAAUUCAUCAAUUAACGUAUGCACAUACCUUUAACUAUAUUAAAUAGCUGAAUAAGGCUAUUUCAAAGUUAGAUCUAUCUCUGAGACUAACUUCUUUUUGGAAUUAUAGCAAUUUGAUAAAUAAUAAACAUAACAGCUUUUCACUGUUUUUAACAAAA